AAUACGUUCCUGAGCCUUGUACACACCGCCCGUCAAGUCAUGGAAGCCGGGAGUGCCCGAAGUCGCUCUGAUUCAGGAGUGCCCACGGCAAGUUCGGUAACUGGGACUAAGUCGUAACAAGGUAGCCGUAGGAACCUGCGGCUGGAUCACCUCCUU
rnacentral:rRNA from 1 species